UACGUAGGGUGCAAGCGUUGUCCGGAAUUAUUGGGCGUAAAGAGCUCGUAGGCGGUUUGUCGCGUCUGCUGUGAAAAUCCAGGGCUUAACCCUGGACCUGCAGUGGGUACGGGCAGACUAGAGUGCGGUAGGGGAGAUCGGAAUUCCUGGUGUAGCGGUGAAAUGCGCAGAUAUCAGGAGGAACACCGGUGGCGAAGGCGGGUCUCUGGGCCGUAACUGGACGCUGAGGAGCGAAAGCGUGGGGAGCGAACAGG
rnacentral:rRNA from 1 species